rnacentral:lncRNA from 1 species
GAAAAGAGAUCUUUGAUUCUUUGUACUCAAUUCUGGAAUAUCAUCCCAGUUGCUUGAUUUUUUACAGGAUUGUUUCACUCGACACACGUAAGCCACAAGACAAGACCAGGCUACAACUAGCAUUCAGCCCAAAAAGGUUCUGACAAGAUCAAGUGAGCCGUACUAUCACUAAGUCGAGAUGUAAGUUCUCUCCUCCAUUCUACAUGGCUAUAGGAGCAUGAACUUCAGGAGUUGUCUUUAAAUAAAUUCCGCAUCAGUAAUGUUAAGAGUUAUUGAGGACUUGGGGUCCAAACUUCAUCCAUUGAGCAAUGGAACUACGCGAGCUAUUUGGGGAAAAUACAUU